GCUGAUAACAAGCAAAAAAGAAAACUGAUUCGUAAUCAGUAGGUCGGAGGUUCGACUCCUCUCAACAGCA
rnacentral:tRNA from 1 species